rnacentral:rRNA from 1 species
CCUACGGGGGGCUGCAGUGGGGAAUAUUGGGCAAUGGGCGAAAGCCUGACCCAGCAACGCCGCGUGAUUGAAGAAGGCUUUCGGGUUGUAAAAAUCUGUCCUUUGGGACGAAAAAAAUGACGGUACCCAAGGAGGAAGCCCCGGCUAACUACGUGCCAGCAGCCGCGGUACUACGUAGGGGGCGAGCGUUUUCCGGAAUUACUGGGCGUAAAGGGUGCGCAGGCGGUGCUCUAAGUCAGAUGGGAAAUAUCAAUGCUUAAGGUGGAGGGUGCAUUUGAAACUGGAGCACUUGAGUGCAGGAGAGGUAAGUGGAAUUCCUAGUGUAGCGGUGAAAUGCGUAGAUAUUAGGAGGAACACCAGUGGCGAAGGCGACUUACUGGACUGUAACUGACGCUGAGGCACGAAAGCGUGGGGAGCAAACAGGAUUAGAUACCCCAGUAGUC